GCCUGGGAAUCCCGGGGCACUCUUGGUCCUGAUGCCAGGCCCAGGGGCCAGCGUCCUCCUCCAGACUUGCUUUUCCAAGAGGCCCCACCUCUGCCAGCUGGCUUGUCCGAGAGAGAAGUUUUGUGCAAAUGUACACCUUUACCAGAAGAAUUUGAGAGGAUCUACUCACUACACUCUUAGCAGCUGUGGUACGUAGAAAAAUACACUGUCUCACCCCUUGUGCCUAGAUGUCCCCUUUAAUCUCUGGAACCUAAGUAGGUCACCUUAUAUAACAAAGGAGCAUUGUUGCUUCCCAGCUGAUCUUGAGAUGGGGUGAUUACCCUGGAUUACCCAGAUGGGCCCAAUAUGAUCACAAGUGUCCUUAGAAGUGAAAGAAGGAAGCAGAAGGGAACCAGAAAGACAGCUGAGUGAGAAUGACUCAGCCCUAGGUUGCUGAUUUUUAAGAAGGAAGAGGCCAUGAGCCAAGGAAUGUGGGAGGGUCUGGAAGCUGGAAGGGGCAAGGAAAGUACUCUCCCCUAGAGCCUCCAGAAGGAACACGACCCUGGUGACACCAUGAUCUUAGCCAAAAAGAUGUGUCGGACUUCUGACUAUAGAAAUAUAAGUGAAUACAUUGGGUUAUUCUAAGUCACUAAGUUUUUUAGUGAUUUGUUAGCCCAGCAAUAAAACUGCAUUGGGUAUCUUCAUUUCAUUUCAUUCUGGUGGGAUUUAAUGCCAUUUUAAUUUGCAUUUGUUUGAUUUUCUGGGCAGAGCCCAUCUAUUGUUCUGUCUACCCAGAAAAGACUCUUCUGGGAAAUGCAUCUUCUCCUCCCUUAUAAACAGGUAGUCCAAAAUCAAGUCAGAUCCCCAACCAGUUUAAGCCAUUCAGAGCCUUUUUUGUAAUUAAAAAUUUUAGGAUUAGAGAAUACAAACCCUAUCCUUCGGUAUUGGUGCGGAAAGAGGUGAGUCAUAGCAGCUGCCAGGAGCAUGUUUCUGCCAUCAGCACAAAGCCUCUCGGAGAGAAUGACACUGACACACAGAGAAAAGCAAGGCAGAGGGGCAGGGAGAAGUCUCUGCAGGACUGGUCAGCUGCAUCCCUGCUCUUCUGGCUGGGUGACACUUCCAAUAAAUGUCUCUUUUGCAGAAAUUA